AUGUAUUGUUCUUUUGACUUCUUUUUUUUCUUCAUACAAGAGAGAACUCCGGGGCGCUCUGCAGUGCGUUCCUGUCCGCUUUGCCCUAAGGUUGUGGUCGGCUUCAGUCAGCACCUGAGGCACACGCACAAUGUGAGGAACACGGAGGAGAGGAUCCUCCUUUGUAAUUGGCAGUCGGGCCGUGUCAACAUCAGGCAGGAGCCGUGCCCAGUGACAGGAUGCUCCACCCAUGUCAGCAGGCUGGACCGGCACAUGGAGUCGCACACAGAGCUCGACAGAUCGCAGAGGAGACGGGCUUUAGAGGAACUCAGGAGACGGCUGACCAUGGAGCGGCUGGCCACGUUGAGGGCGUCCAACCCUGUCGUCCCGCUGGCCACCCAUUUGGAUAUCGUGGAGUGGGAAACAAAGCAGGAAGAGGAGGACGACUCUUUAGAUUCACUGCUGUCUCCUUUGGAAGAGGAGGAGGAGGAGGACGUGAGCUGCGGAGAUUAUUCCUGCCACUGCCAGGUGCCCAUCCUGAGGCUACGGAAAGCUUUGCAAGAGCGGGAUGAGGCCCUGACCAAGAGAAGUGCGACCAUCCAAUCCGUUAGAGAGGACAACCUGAAGCUGACCUCGGAACUGAAUAGAGCGAGGAAGAGGUAUCAGCUACUGAAAAGGCAGAAGACGAGUGUCAGCGCGAGGUCGGCAAACGCAAGGUCAGCGAAGAGGUCCAGGUUUCAGACCGAGCCAUCUCGUCCUGCGUCAGACACAGAACAAGAGGAGCUACAGCGGGACCAAGUCGUGGGUUCAGGAGCCCAGAUAGAGGAGGCCACGGCGCUCAGAUCUAGCAGCCAAACUCCCUUCCCGGGCUCUGCUCUGAGUGUGUUUAUAGAGGGGUUCAGGAAGAUCUGUGAAGGCCCCAGUCCAAACAAUAAGCUGAAGCAAAAUUGUGCCGUGAAGCUCAAGAUGGUGCAACAAUUUUUGAAGUUCAUGGCGAAGGAUGAGAAAUAUCCAUCCCCUCUCAGUUUCCUGGCAGACCGGGACAACAUGAGGAGAUGGUUUCAGACCCUUCAGCAGAACAAGGCCGUCGCCAUGGUCAACCACUACACCUCGACUAUCGGUGCAUUUCUCCAGUACUCCGAGGAGACCCCUCCGCCUGGCUGCCGGCUGACCAAAAACCACUGGAAGGAGAUCAAUCGGGCAAUGAAGGAGAUCAACAAGUCCGUGAAAGGAGCCGUCUCCAACAAGGAAGGCAAGGGGGUGUCUAUAAAGAGCCUGCUGGAGUGCCAGUCUCUUGCCAAGGACAAGAUCCCCCAAGUGCUGAAAACCUUGGCAGAAACAAUGACACAGAGGAACCAGAACCGGUUUUACGGAUUCCUGUGUGCCUAUUUCACCUCCAUGUACGGCCACAGCCCGGGCCUUUAUAGAAACAUGAUGGUGAAGGAGGUGGAGGAGGUCCAGUGGGGCCUGUCUGGGACCUGUCUGAUCAACGUGGGAAACGCAAAACAAAUGCAAACCAGGAUCCAGAUGUCGCUGACCAAAGAGGAGUACUCUUGGUUUUCAGACUUCCUGAAAUUCAAGCACUGCCUGCCAGGGGGAAAGAAAGCCCAGUACUUCUUUUUCAAUUCCACCAACACUGAGAUCAAGAACCUGCCCGUCUACCUGAGGGAGGCGUGGAAGGAGAUGGGCCUGCCUGGAAGCCCUACCUUCACUGACCUGCGGACUUCCAUCUUCAGUCAUGUCAGUCAGAUGGGGGGGGGGGGGGGGGGGGGGGGGGGGUGUAAAUUAAGAGAUCCUACUCCAACGGCUGUCCCGAAAACCAUCAAUGACUAAAAUAUAAUAUUUUAUCUGUGUGUCUUGUUUGUGUUCUUACAGGUUAAAAACGUUGUCCCGAAUGCCGACGGGGAAACGUUGUCCGACUUCGUGCGCCACGACAGCCGGACGGAAGCCAAACGUUACGCGAUGAAUCCUUCCAAAGCCGGUGAAACCAGCGCCUUCCUGGAGAAGGCGGUGAAGGGAGAAGAUACCGCACCGCGGGCGCCGCAGAGAACCAGCCAUCCACCUCCAGAAAGCAGGAGACGAGAGAGGACGUCUCCGAGCGGAGCACCACCCCUGAAGAGACCGAGGUGCAGUACUAGGAGUCUGGCACGUCCGCCGGGGAGGAGGAGCAGGAACGGACGGCCAGACAAAAAAUAAGAUAUUCAGAGACAACGCAUCAGAUUACACUUGUACACCGUUUAACACUCAAGAACAAACAGAUACUCGGGCAUGGUGGUCUCCUCCAACUGAAGGACAUGGUGGUCUCCUCCAACUGAAGGGCAUGGUGGUCUCCUCCAACUGAAGAGCAUGUUGCUGCUCGCCUCCCACUGUGUCAGGUUAUGAAGCAGCUGAGGUCCAUUUAAAGCCCCAAACAGACUCCAGGAGAAAGAAGGACGAGGAAAGACUUCUGACAGUCAGUUGGAAGAGAGGGGUUGACUUCUGACAGUCAGGUGGAAGAGGGGGGUUGACCUCUGACAGUCAGGUGGAAGAGGGGGGUUGACCUCUGACAGUCAGGUGGAAGAGGGGGAGCUGUCUUCUGACAGUCAGGUGGAAGAGGGGGAGCUGUCUUCUGACAGUCAGGUGGAAGAGGGGGAGCUGUCUUCUGACAGUCAGGUGGAAGGAGGGGAGCUGUCUUCUGACAGUCAGGUGGAAGGAGGGGAGCUGUCUUCUGACAGUCAGGUGGAAGAGGGGGAGCUGUCUUCUGACAGUCAGGUGGAAGAGGGGGAGCUGUCUUCUGACAGUCAGGUGGAAGGAGGGGAGCUGUCUUCUGACAGUCAGGUGGAAGAGGGGGAGCUGUCUUCUGACAGUCAGGUGGAAGGAGGGGAGCUGUCUUCUGACAGUCAGGUGGAAGAGGGGGGUUGACCUCUGACAGUCAGGUGGAAGAGGGGGGUUGACCUCUGACAGUCAGGUGGAAGAGGGGGAGCUGUCUUCUGACAGUCAGGUGGAAGAGGGGGAGCUGUCUUCUGACAGUCAGGUGGAAGAGGGGGAGCUGUCUUCUGACAGUCAGGUGGAAGGAGGGGAGCUGUCUUCUGACAGUCAGGUGGAAGGAGGGGAGCUGUCUUCUGACAGUCAGGUGGAAGAGGGGGAGCUGUCUUCUGACAGUCAGGUGGAAGAGGGGGAGCUGUCUUCUGACAGUCAGGUGGAAGGAGGGGAGCUGUCUUCUGAAGAAUGUUCAACUUUCUCACAUGUAUACACACCACUCAGACACACUCAGACAGACACCACACUCAGACACCACACUCAGACACCAUUUUCAGACACCACACUCAGACACCAUUUUCAGACACCAUACUCAGACACCACACUCAGACACCAUUUUCAGACACCAUUUUCAGACACCAUACUCAGACACCAUACUCAGACACACCCAUUAUUAAAAGUAAUUUAAUGUCAUUUAAUUUGAUUUCUCGUUUAGAUUCAAUAAAAUAUUGUUACUAGUUCUCCACUGUGUUUUCAUUUCAGAGGUUGAAUGUCAAACAGGAUGGAGUGAAGUAACAUAGGAUCAUAUCUCAGGGAAUGUCAAACAGGAAGGAGUGAAGUAACAUAGGAUCAUAUCUCAGGGAAUAUCAAACAGGAAGGGAGAUUUAAAGCAGAACAGUGAAGUAACAGCAAAUACGUUGAAUGAGCAACUUCUGAGCAUGUAGAUCCUCACAAGGUUGACGAAAUUACCUCAUAUCUUUCUGUCUAAUAUGGCUAUUUACUGCUGUUGCCCUCAUUAGAGGCUUUCUGUAAGUAGUUAGGCCUAACUGUCCUGUCCAAGUUUAGCUGGAAUUUAGCCCCAAAGGAUUUAAGAGGAUUGGUUGACUACAGGCCUAACUGUCCUGUCCAAGUUUAGCUGGAAUUUAGCCCCAAAGGAUUUAAGAGGAUUGGUUGACUACAGGCCUAACUGCCCUGUCCAAGUUUAGCUGGAAUUUAGCCCCAAAGGAUUUAAGAGGAUUGGUUGACUACAGGCCUAACUGUCCUGUCCAAGUUUAGCUGGAAUUUAGCCCCAAAGGAUUUAAGAGGAUUGGUUGACUACAGGCCUAACUGUCCUGUCCAAGUUUAGCUGGAAUUUAGCCCCAAAGGAUUUAAGAGGAUUGGUUGACUACAGGCCUAACUGUCCUGUCCAAGUUUAGCUGGAAUUUAGCCCCAAAGGAUUUAAGAGGAUUGGUUGACUACAGGCCUAACUGUCCUGUCCAAGUUUAGCUGGAAUUUAGCCCCAAAGGAUUUAAGAGGAUUGGUUGACUACAGGCCUAACUGUCCUCUCCAAGUUUAGCUGGAAUUUAGCCCCAAAGGAUUUAAGAGGAUUGGUUGACUACAGGCCUAACUGUCCUCUCCAAGUUUAGCUGGAAUUUAGCCCCAAAGGAUUUAAGAGGAUUGGUUGACUACAGGCCUAACUGUCCUGUCCAAGUUUAGCUGGAAUUUAGCCCCAAAGGAUUUAAGAGGAUUGGUUGACUACAGGCCUAACUGUCCUCUCCAAGUUUUGUCACAAAAAUAUAAACACAACAAUGUUGGUCCCAUGUUUCAUGAGCUGAAAUAAAA
rnacentral:lncRNA from 1 species